AACGAACGCUGGCGGCAGGCCUAACACAUGCAAGUCGAGCGCGCCCUUCGGGGUGAGCGGCGGACGGGUGAGUAACGCGUGGGAACGUGCCCUUUUCUACGGAAUAGCCUCGGGAAACUGAGAGUAAUACCGUAUACGCCCUUUGGGGGAAAGAUUUAUCGGAAAAGGAUCGGCCCGCGUUGGAUUAGGUAGUUGGUGGGGUAAUGGCCUACCAAGCCGACGAUCCAUAGCUGGUUUGAGAGGAUGAUCAGCCACACUGGGACUGAGACACGGCCCAGACUCCUACGGGAGGCAGCAGUGGGGAAUCUUAGACAAUGGGGGCAACCCUGAUCUAGCCAUGCCGCGUGAGUGAUGAAGGCCUUAGGGUUGUAAAGCUCUUUCAGCUGGGAAGAUAAUGACGGUACCAGCAGAAGAGGCCCCGGCUAACUCCGUG
rnacentral:rRNA from 1 species